UGGGGAAUUUUGGACAAUGGGGGCAACCCUGAUCCAGCCAUCCCGCGUGUGCGAUGAAGGCCUUCGGGUUGUAAAGCACUUUUGGCAGGGAAGAAACGGCGCGGGCUAAUAACCUGUGCUAAUGACGGUACCUGCAGAAUAAGCACCGGCUAACUACGUGCCAGCCGCCGCGGUAAUACGUAGGGUGCAAGCGUUACUCGGAAUUACUGGGCGUAAAGCGUGCGCAGGCGGUUCGGAAAGAAAGGUGUGAAAUCCCAGGGCUUAAUCUUGGAACUGCGCUUGUAACUACCGGGCUAGAGUACGUCAGAGGGGGGUAGAAUUCCACGUGUAGCAGUGAAAUGCGUAGAGAUGUGGAGGAAUACCGAUGGCGAAGGCAGCCCCCUGGGAUGAUACUGACGCGCAUGGACGAAAGCGUGGGGAGCAAA
rnacentral:rRNA from 1 species